UACAGAGGGUGCAAGCGUUAAUCGGAAUUACUGGGCGUAAAGCGCGCGUAGGCGGCUGAUUAAGUCGGAUGUGAAAUCCCCGGGCUCAACCUGGGAACUGCAUUCGAUACUGAUCGGCUAGAGUAUGGGAGAGGGAAGCGGAAUUUCUGGUGUAGCAGUGAAAUGCGUAGAGAUCGGGAAGAACACCGGUGGCGAGGGCGGCCCACUGGGCCAGUUCUGACGCUGAGGCGCGAAAGCGUGGAGAGCAAACAGG
rnacentral:rRNA from 1 species